rnacentral:rRNA from 1 species
UACAGAGGUGGCAAGCGUUGUUCGGAAUUACUGGGCGUAAAGGGCGCGUAGGCGGCCUUGUAAGUCCUGUGUGAAAUCCCCCGGCUCAACUGGGGAACUGCACAGGAGACUGCUUGGCUUGAGUUCGGGAGAGGGAAGCGGAAUUCCGGGUGUAGCGGUGAAAUGCGUAGAUAUCCGGAGGAACACCGGUGGCGAAGGCGGCAUCCUGGACCAAUUCUGACACUGAGGAGCGAAAGCCAGGGGAGCAAACGGG